UGUUGGGAGCAUUAAGAGCUUCAAAUUGGUUGUUCAUGGUGGUUAGGGUAUUGAUGACAAUGGCAAUCUUGUAAUUACUUGAAGAUGAUAAGGGUGAGAGAGUAAAAAUGUCAUUUUCGAAAAAUAAAAUAAAAAAUUGAUGGCAUUUUCGUGAAUUAUAUGAACUUGUGGGGUGAAUAUGGCAAAACCAAUUUCCAAAAAAAAUGGAGGUUAGUUUUGUGUUUGACUUUAAGUUGUAGGUCAAUUAUGCAAAAAGCCCUUUAAAU
rnacentral:lncRNA from 1 species